AGCUCGUGUCGUGAGAUGUUGGGUUAAGUCCCGCAACGAGCGCAACCCUUAUCUUUAAUUGCCAGCAUUCAGUUGGGCACUUUAAAGAGACUGCCGGUGUUAAACCGGAGGAAGGUGGGGAUGACGUCAAGUCCUCAUGGCCUUUAUGCUUAGGGCUACACACGUGCUACAAUGGGUGGUACAAAGAGAAGCCAACUCGCGAGAGCGCGCCAAUCUCAAAAAGCCAUCCUCAGUUCGGAUUGGAGUCUGCAACUCGACUCCAUGAAGUUGGAAUCGCUAGUAAUCGCGGAUCAGCAUGCCGCGGUGAAUACGUUCCCGGGCCUU
rnacentral:rRNA from 1 species